AGUGGCAUUUCCUGUCCCAUUGUGUUAAAUAGCAUGCAGCUGCUGAUGUGCAGCAUGCAGCUAUCAUCAGAUACUAAACAGCAGAGUGACCUUGCUGCUGAAAACUAUAUGGCCUUUGCUGAUUGAUCUGUAGCUGCCUAGUGUUACUUUUUAAUUAUCCAGUAGUCCUGUGUUCCAGGAGCUAUCAUUUGACU